rnacentral:rRNA from 1 species
UGGGCCUACGGGGGGCAGCAGUGGGGAAUAUUGCACAAUGGAGGAAACCCUGAUGCAGCGACGCCGCGUGGGCGAGGAAGUACCUCGGUAUGUAAAGCCCUAUCAGCAGGGAAGAAACAGGACAGUACCUGACUAAGAAGCCCCGGCUAACUACGUGCCAGCAGCCGCGGUAAUACGUAGGGGGCAAGCGUUAUCCGGAUUCACUGGGCGUAAAGGGAGCGCAGGCGGCAUGGCAAGUCUGAUGUGAAAUCCUAUGGCUUAACCAUAGAACUGCAUUUGAAACUGUUAUUCUAGAGUAUGGGAGG